rnacentral:tRNA from 1 species
UUGAUUAAAGCCAAAAAGAGGCAUAUCACUGUUAAUGAUACUACUGAGAUUUUAAUCUCUAAUCAAG